UACGUAGGGUGCAAGCGUUGUCCGGAAUUAUUGGGCGUAAAGAGCUCGUAGGCGGUUUGUCGCGUCUGCUGUGAAAACUCGGAGCUCAACUCCGAGCCUGCGUUCGAUACUGGACGGCUAGAGUCUGGUAGGGGGAUCUGGAAUUCCUGGUGUAGCGGUGGAAUGCGCAGAUAUCAGGAGGAACACCGGUGGCGAAGGCGGGAUCCUGGGCCAGUACUGACGCUGAGGAGCGAAAGCGUGGGGAGCGAACCGG
rnacentral:rRNA from 1 species